CAAUAGCGUAUAUUAAAGUUGUUGCAGUUAAAAAGCUCGUAGUUGGAUUUCGGGAUGGCUCGGCCGGUCUGCCGCAAGGUAUGUUACUGGCCGCGCUGUUCUUCCUCGCAAAGACUGUGUGUGCUCUUAACUGAGUGUGCAUAGGAUCUGUGACGUUUACUUUGAAAAAAUUAGAGUGUUCAAAGCAAGCCAGCGCUUGAAUACAUAAGCAUGGAAUAAUGGAAUAGGACUUUGGUUCUAUUUUGUUGGUUUCUGGAACUGAAGUAAUGAUUGAGAGAGACAGUUGGGGGCAUUCGUAUUUCGUUGUCAGAGGUGAAAUUCUUGGAUUUACGAAAGACGGACUACUGCGAAAGCAUUUGCCAAGAAUGUUUNCAUUAA
rnacentral:rRNA from 1 species